rnacentral:rRNA from 1 species
UGGGGAAUAUUGCACAAUGGGCGCAAGCCUGAUGCAGCCAUGCCGCGUGUAUGAAGAAGGCCUUCGGGUUGUAAAGUACUUUCAGCGGGGAGGAAGGUGUUGUGGUUAAUAACCUCAGCAAUUGACGUUACCUGCAGAAGAAGCACCGGCUAACUCCGUGCCAGCAGCCGCGGUAAUACGGAGGGUGCAAGCGUUAAUCGGAAUUACUGGGCGUAAAGCGCACGCAGGCGGUCUGUCAAGUCGGAUGUGAAAUCCCCGGGCUCAACCUGGGAACUGCAUCCGAAACUGGCAGGCUUGAGUCUUGUAGAGGGGGGUAGAAUUCCAGGUGUAGCGGUGAAAUGCGUAGAGAUCUGGAGGAAUACCGGUGGCGAAGGCGGCCCCCUGGACAAAGACUGACGCUCAGGUGCGAAAGCGUGGGGAGCAAACA